rnacentral:rRNA from 1 species
AAAGAACGCUGGCGGCAGGCUUAACACAUGCAAGUCGAACGCCCCGCAAGGGGAGUGGCAGACGGGUGAGUAACACGUGGGAACGUGCCCUAAGGUUUGGAAUAUUCCCGGGAAACUCGGAGCAAUACCAAAUGUGUCCGUAAGGAGAAAGAUUUAUCGCCUUAGGAUCGGCCCGUGUCAGAUUAGGUAGUUGGUGGGGUAAUGGCCUACCAAGCCGACGAUCUGUAGCUAGUCUGAGGGGACGACCCGCCACACUGGGACUGAGACACGGCCCAGACUCAUACGGGAGGCAGCAGUUGGGAAUCUUGGACAAUGGGCGCAAGCCUGAUCCAGCCAUGCCGCGUGGAUGAUGAAGGCCCUAGGGUUGUAAAAUCCUUUCGUUGGGGACGAUAAUGACGGUACCCAAAGAAGAAGCUCCGGCUAACUUCGUGCCAGCAGCCGCGGUAACAC